UGAACGCUGGCGGCAUGCCUUACACAUGCAAGUCGAACGGCAGCACGGGUGCUUGCACCUGGUGGCGAGUGGCGAACAGGUGAGUAAUACAUCGGAACAUGUCCUGUAGUGGGGGAUAGCCCGGCGAAAGCCGGAUUAAUACCGCAUACGAUCUACGGAUGAAAGCGGGGGACCUUCGGGCCUCGCGCUAUAGGGUUGGCCGAUGGCUGAUUAGCUAGUUGGUGGGGUAAAGGCCUACCAAGGCGACGAUCAGUAGCUGGUCUGAGAGGACGACCAGCCACACUGGGACUGAGACACGGCCCAGACUCCUACGGGAGGCAGCAGUGGGGAAUUUUGGACAAUGGGCGAAAGCCUGAUCCAGCAAUGCCGCGUGUGUGAAGAAGGCCUUCGGGUUGUAAAGCACUUUUGUCCGGAAAGAAAUCCUUGGCUCUAAUACAGUCGGGGGAUGACGGUACCGGAAGAAUAAGCACCGGCUAACUACGUGCCAGCAGCCGCGGUAAUACGUAGGGUGCGAGCGUUAAUCGGAAUUACUGGGCGUAAAGCGUGCGCAGGCGGUUUGCUAAGACCGAUGUGAAAUCUCCGGGCUCAACCUGGGAACUGCAUUGGUGACUGGCAGCUAGAGUAUGGCAGAGGGGGGUAGAAUUCCACGUGUAGCAGUGAAAUGCGUAGAGAUGUGGAGGAAUACCGAUGGCGAAAGCAGCCCCCUGGGCCAAUACUGACGCUCAUGCACGAAAGCGUGGGGAGCAAACAGGAUUAGAUACUCUGGGUAGUCCACCGUCCUAAACGAUGUCAACUAGUUGUUGGGGAUUCAUUUCCUUAGUAACGUAGCUAACGCGUGAAAGUUGACCGCCUGGGGAGUACGGUCGCAAGAUUAAAACUCAAAGGAAUUGACGGGGACCCGCACAAGCGGUGGAUGAUGUGGAUUAAUUCGAUGCAACGCGAAAAACCUUACCUACCCUUGACAUGGUCGGAAUCCUGCUGAGAGGUGGGAGUGCUCGAAAGAGAACCGGCGCACAGGUGCUGCAUGGCUGUCGUCAGCUCGUGUCGUGAGAUGUUGGGUUAAGUCCCGCAACGAGCGCAACCCUUGUCCUUAGUUGCUACGCAAGAGCACUCUAAGGAGACUGCCGGUGACAAACCGGAGGAAGGUGGGGAUGACGUCAAGUCCUCAUGGCCCUUAUGGGUAGGGCUUCACACGUCAUACAAUGGUCGGAACAGAGGGUUGCCAACCCGCGAGGGGGAGCUAAUCCCAGAAAACCGAUCGUAGUCCGGAUUGCACUCUGCAACUCGAGUGCAUGAAGCUGGAAUCGCUAGUAAUCGCGGAUCAGCAUGCCGCGGUGAAUACGUUCCCGGGUCUUGU
rnacentral:rRNA from 1 species